AUCACAUUGUCUUAGCCAAAGACUUCUAAACUCAAGUCUCAUAAAUUACAUAGGACUACUUGUUUCUGCUAAGGUCAAUAGAUUGCAUAUAGAUGCACAUCCUGCUCCUACAGUGGAUCAACUAUCGUCAACAUCCAUUACAAAAACUCAUUGAGACCAUAUUCCUGUAUAGUCAAACUUCAAUAGCCACACUAUGAGUAGUCAUAGCACGCAGGU
rnacentral:lncRNA from 1 species